rnacentral:rRNA from 1 species
UACGAAGGGGGGCUAGCGUUGCUCGGAAUCACUGGGCGUAAAGCGCACGUAGGCGGCUUUCUAAGUCAGGGGUGAAAUCCUGGAGCUCAACUCCAGAACUGCCUUUGAUACUGGAUGGCUUGGAUUUGGGAGAGGGAUGCGGAAUUCCAGGUGUAGCGGUGAAAUGCGUAGAUAUCUGGAGGAACACCGGUGGCGAAGGCGGCAUCCUGGACCGAUAUUGACGCUGAGGCGCGAAAGCCAGGGGAGCAAAGCGGG